GAUAAACGCUGGCGGCGCACAUAAGACAUGCAAGUCGAACGGACUUAACUCAUUCUUUUAGAUUGAGAGCGGUUAGUGGCGGACUGGUGAGUAACACGUAGGCAACCUGCCUAUCAGAGGGGAAUAACAGUGAGAAAUCAUUGCUAAUACCGCAUAAGCUAGUAGCAUCGCAUGAUGUAGCUAGAAAAGGAGUAAUCCGCUGAUAGAUGGGCUUGCGUCUGAUUAGCUAGUUGGUGGGGCAACGGCCUACCAAGGCGACGAUCAGUAGCCGGACUGAGAGGUUGAACGGCCACAUUGGGACUGAGAUACGGCCCAGACUCCUACGGGAGGCAGCAGUCGGGAAUAUUGCGCAAUGGAGGAAACUCUGACGCAGUGACGCCGCGUAUAGGAAGAAGGUUUUCGGAUUGUAAACUAUUGUCGUGAGGGAAGAAAUUGACAGUACCUCAGGAGGAAGCUCCGGCUAACUAUGUGCCAGCCGCCGCAGUAA
rnacentral:rRNA from 1 species